AUUGAACGCUGGCGGCAUGCCUUACACAUGCAAGUCGAACGGUAACGGGCCUUCGGGUGCCGACGAGUGGCGAACGGGUGAGUAAUGCAUCGGAACGUACCUUUCAGUGGGGGAUAACGUAGCGAAAGUUACGCUAAUACCGCAUAUUCUGUGAGCAGGAAAGCAGGGGAUCGCAAGACCUUGCGCUGAUUGAGCGGCCGAUGUCAGAUUAGCUAGUUGGUGAGGUAAAGGCUCACCAAGGCGACGAUCUGUAGCGGGUCUGAGAGGAUGAUCCGCCACACUGGAACUGAGACACGGUCCAGACUCCUACGGGAGGCGGCAGUGGGGAAUUUUGGACAAUGGGGGCAACCCUGAUCCAGCCAUGCCGCGUGAGUGAAGAAGGCC
rnacentral:rRNA from 1 species